rnacentral:tRNA from 1 species
UGGCUCAGUUGGUAGAGUGUUUGCCUUGCAAGCAUAAGGCUCUGGGUUCGAUCCCCAG